AUGCUGCCACUCGUCUCUCAGCUGUUCCCCCUUCCCAACUACCGCCUCCUCCUCCUCCUCCACCUCCCCUUUGCUCAGUCAGACUGAAGAAAAGACCAAGCGAGGCUGAUCCUAAAAGGCAGGCCACGGGGAUAACUAAUCCGCGCAUGGAGGCACGCCCCCUCAGCCAAUCAGGGAAAGGAGGCUGAAAGGAAGGGGGGGUGGCAGGGUUGGACCUUUCCAGAGAAAGCAGGAGAAAAAAGGAGCAGGAGGAGGAGUUUCCCUGUGGCACCUCUAUUCCUUCUGGGACAGCACACACACAAUAGCAAGGCAUUGAGCCUUAACCCAACAGGUUGUUUCUGCAGAGCAGAAGAGGAAGAUGCUCAGUGGAAACCUGGAGACCAGGUUAAAGCAUCUCAAAGCAACGCAAAGAACCCAACAGGUCUUUGAACUGCUGCAUGGGAAAGCAAAAAGACCAAACUGUAAAAUGAGGAAGAAAAUGUGUUGAUCUUUGUUAUGAAACGUGCCAAAAGUCUUUAGGAAAAAUAGGAAUCCAAACCAAAACUCUCCAACAUCACCUACCAGUAGUUUUCCACUAAAAAGACCAUCAUCAAUUGCCUUGCAUCCUCACACAAAGUUGCCAGAAUCUGGAGAAGAUUUACACACAAGGCGUUUGUAUCUUGACGGCACUGUGAUGAAUGUGCAGCCCGAGUAUCCAUUUCCAUCCAGCCUCCCUACACCUCCAUUUUUUAUUUAUUUAGAGUGCACAUCACGCCACAGACAAACUCACCCAACAAACAAAGAGGCGAGCAGUCAGACUCAGCUGAUGUGAUUGAUGACAGGAUGAGCUCAUUGGCACAACAGAGGUGAGACUCUGCACAUCACAGAAGCUGGCUGCUGCUGGGUCAGUUCACGUGCACACUCUGAAAGCUAAAGAGUGAUUUAAACUGGUUAAAGAGCACUACAUUAUCUGCAGUAAAUCUGCACUUGGGGAGCAUCCUGGAUUUGAUCAGAGCAAGGCAGCUCCAGAGGAGUUGCCAUAGAUAACCUUUGAAUGAAAGAAGACGAGCAGGAGCAAUACAUGAUUGAGCUCCGGGUAAGGCUGCAUUCAACAGCGCCUCCUGCAAACCCCCACCGCCUCCCUUUCACCGAGCUCAGGGAGAGGGGGGUGGGAGUCAAAUGACACUGGCAAAUUUCCUGAGGAAUGAAUGAAUGAACGAAUGUACGCAGGUGGGAGUGAAUUGUGCAGGCAACAACGGUGGGGCACAAAAAGGCGCAGGUGACUCUCCUUUCCUUCACAUGCUGAUCGGGAUUAGCCCGUAUUUAAGAUGACUUUAUCCCGGGUUUUUGCUCGCUAUUUUCUGGCCGCUCUCAGGAGUCCCAUUCCCCGCCUCCACUUCCAUCUCCUCCCCCCUUUCCUGCUGCUGGCACCCGGUAAAAGCUGAUUUUAGAAAGAUCCAGAACACCCGUUUUAAACGUACGACCCAGGCGCGCACCGCACAGUCCGCAAGAGUAAACGAAUGCGUCUUCAUUUAAAAUACAAAAAUUGUCAAUGUCGAGGCUCCGUAGCUUUUGGCCUCUCUUCCUUCAGCUGCCACUGCGGCGCGAGCGCCGUAACCAAGGUAGCAAAGCAGGGGGGACACAAGCGGCGGGAGGCGCGCGCACACUGAAAACUUUCCACCGAUUCCUUGUGGAGCCGAAUCAGGCACGACAACCCCCACACUGUGUCCGCUUACCUGGCGGUUGGUCCAUUUCCAAGUAGAAUAUCAGCUCGGUGGAGUAGGGCAUCGUCAUGUCCCGCCAGUCUCCUUCCUCGUCGGCUUUUUCCGUCGUCAGAACAGUAUUGUACAUCGCUUUCGUUUGGCUAAAACCGUUUUUCCACUUGAAUUCUGUAUUUUUGCCUACGUGCUGCUAGCAAUUGCACACCGAACAAAGAAUAUAUAUAUAUAAAUAAACCGCAAUAUAUAAAAUAGUCAUACAGAUAAAUUAUCUGUCUGUUCGAAAAAUCUGAAUUCCUGCUUCAGAAUUUAAUAAAUAGACAAAAAGUGUACGGCAGGCUCCGAGCUGCGGCUGCUUUCUCCGACAUAAUAGUAAUAGAAAUAGCUCGGGGCUCUUCAUGAAGGCCUUCUUUGUGAUAUUUCAUAUUCCGCCGUCUUGCCGGCUUCAUUUUAAGAUGAGCAGUGACAAGAGGAGGCCGGCAGAGGUUGACAAGGGCUCGACCGAACCAUUCUGCUCCAGUUUACAGGGCUGACCGUGGCUCUGUGCGCAGACGCAGAGCGACUGAGUUCCAAAGCCAAUAGAAAAACGACUCCAGUCUCUGAAGAGCCAAGUUACAAAUUCAGUGCUUUUUCCAAGAAGAACCCCAUCUUCCUCCUGGCUGACUGCACACAGCUACAAGGUACUUGAUCAUAUAAAGCAGCAGCAGCAGCCGCCUGGGGUACAGUAUAACAAGCUGUAUGAAUAAUGACCCUUAAACAAUCCGAAGGAAAGUAGCAAUGGUUUUUGCAUACAUUGUAAAAUAAUUGUGCAGUACAUGAUACUCCACUUUUCUAACAGGAGACAGUUUCAUAGUCAUAAAUGAGUUAUGGCCUAGUUUCUAUUGAUUUGCGCAGUUCAUUAAAAUAAACAACUAUGUAUAGUUUACAAUGACUGUUCCCACUUUUUUCACUUAGAAGACAUUUCUACCAGGUAUUACACUUAAACAACUGCAUUAACAGGCUCAAAACUGAACUAGAUUUAUGAAUCUAUGAUCUAUUAACAUUUUAAGUUUUAGGUUAAAUUUUUAUGGUUAUGGAAAACGCUUUCCAUAUAACUAGUGAUAAAAAACAAAAAAAUGUGCAACUUUUGUUAGUAAAAUAUUGAAUUCUGAAAUGAAAUUACAGCAAACAAAAAUGUAAAGGAAAUUUCAAAUGCUAUUAAUUAUUUUAAAAUGUAUUUGAUUAAUAUUUGUUUGAACCCAGCCCUGAUUUCAAAAUGUACAGCAACAAUGCCUUUACAUCCUAAAUAAAACUUUUUGAAACCCUAAAGAGAACUCAACUAAGAGACAAAAAAUUAAACAAAAAAAAGAUAAACAAAAUGAAACAAAAGUUGUUCAUGUUUUAAAGAACAAAAAGAUAAAGGAAAGGAUGCUAAAACCAAAAGGCGUUUUUAAACACACUUUUAUGCAGACCCACACAUGAGUACAUAGUACACAAAAACACACUAACAAAUACCCUACAGCCUACAGACAUAUAGUACAAACCAAAAGUUUGGACACACCUUCUCAUUCAAAGAGUUUUCUUUAUUUUCACGACUAUGAAAAUUGUAGAGUCACACUGAAGCCAUCAAAAUUGUGACAUAACACAUGUGUAAAUAUAUACAUAACAAAAACAUGUAAAACAAGUGAAAAUAUGUCAUCUUGUAGGUUUUUCAAAGU